rnacentral:miRNA from 1 species
CUCCAGAUGUUGCUGAACUACAACUCCCAUGAUUCUUUGAAUUACAUAGCUAGCCAGAGAUUCAUGGGAGUUGUAGUUCAGCAACAUCUGGAG